ACUCCUACGGGAGGCAGCAGUCGGGAAUUUUGGGCAAUGGGCGAAAGCCUGACCCAGCAACGCCGCGUGAAGGAAGAAAUCCCUCGGGAUGUAAACUUCGCAAGAACGGGAAGAAUAAGUAGGGGACAAUACCCCAUAUGA
rnacentral:rRNA from 1 species